UGGAACACGGAGCAAACAGCUGUAACACUC
rnacentral:piRNA from 1 species